UUUUUUUUUUGAGACGGAGUUUCGCUGUUGUUACCCAGGCUGGAGUGCAAUGGCACGAUCUCGGCUCACCGCAACCUCCGCCUCCUGGGUUCAAGCAAUUCUCCUGCCUCAGCCUCCCGAGUAGCUGGGAUUACAGGUGCGCACCACCAUGCCCAGCUAAUUUUUUGUAUUUUUAGUAGAGACGGGGUUUCACCUUGUUGAUCAGGAUGGUCUCGAUCUCUUGACCUCGUGAUCCACCCGCCUCGGCCUCCCAAAGUGCUGGGAUUACAGGCGUGAGCCACCGCGCGCAGCGGUCCUCUUCACUUUUGCUUUGCUCUCUCCAACCUCUAAGCCUUAGGGAACUAUCACAGAUCUUGCAGAAAGAAAACACACUGCUCUCUUGCAUGCACACUUAACGCUAACUUAAACUUUAGGAUUUCUACCAAAGCUUGAAGCUCUUCUUUUUUCCCACAUUGCUGAGAGACUAGGUUGAUUUAUUUUUUGCACCAGAUGGGUCUCAGCUGGAGACCACCCCAGAAGGGAAUGGGGGUCCCAUCUGGGGUGCCAAUAUGUUGGAAACAGAAGCUCAGUGCCACAAAGGAAAAUUGGCACUGAGACAAAGGAUCUUUCGGCAACACAAUUUUUACUUCCUGGACUGUAGAAAGGGUACCCUCACUAGCCAUCUUACCACAAAGGGGCUCAUCCAACAGACUUGAUUGAGUUGAUGCUGGAACAAGAACGAUCCAAGAGGGCCGAUCGCUAACAUCCCGGGAUUGCAGCUCUCAGUGAAGGCGCAGAGAACCAGAAGACGCCACACUUUCAGACAAAUUCUGGUCACUCACGGAGCAGAAGAUCCCCAGUGGAGGAAACACAUGGGUCACCAGCACGACUCUCGUGGCCGGCGCAGCAGUUCCGCUGGCACCUCGGCACGGCAGCUCUCGGAGCAGAGUAAACAGGUUUGGAGGACCCGCACGGGCCCCCAGCACAACACCAGAGCCCGGUGCAGCGGCUGUGGCGGCACCUCAGCGCGGCAGCACUCGGCGCAGAGUAAAUGGACCGGUUCCCCUUCUGACCAAGGUUUGGAGCCCCGGGAAGGCAGAGUCGCCUACUACAGACACAAAAAGGAAGCCAGACAGGAGAAUCCUGGGCAGAAAAGCACCAUCAGUUUUAACGCCGCUGCUCUGGCCCUGGGAACUAACAACCUGGACGCCCACUCAAGAGACCUAAUCUGAAAGCUGGUAAAUUCAAAGACGACAGGAGGAUAAAUUUACAAUGACGGGAAGAAACCAGCGUAAAAAAGCUGAGAAUACUCAAAGUCAGAACACCUCUCCCUCUAAAGAUGAUCACAGUUCCACAUCAACAAUGGAACAAGGCUUGAUGGAGAAUGAGCGCAUCCCAAUAACAGAAUCACUCUUCAAGGAAUGGAUAAUAACAAACUUCGGUGAGUUAAAAGAACAUGUUGUAGCCCAAUGUAAAGAAACUAGGAACUUUGAAAAAAGGUUUGAUGAAAUCCUAUUGAGAAUAGACAACUUAGAGAGGAGUAUGAGUGAAAUAAUGGAACUGAAGAUACAAUACAGGAACUCCGAGAAAUAUGCACAGGUUUAAACACUCGAAUUGUUCAAGCAGAAGAAGGGAUAUCAGAGGUCAAAGUCCAACUUAAUGAAAUAAAACGUGAAGAAAAGAUUAGAGAAAAAAGGAUAAAAAGGAAUGAGCAAAGUCUCCAAGAAAUGUGGGACUAUGUGAAAAGACCAAAUUUACGUUUGAUAGGUGUACCUGAAUGUGACGGAGAGAAUGAAUCCAAGCUGGAAAAUACCCUUCAGAAUAUUAUUCAGGAAAAUUUUCCUAAACUAGCAAAGCAGGUCAAUAUUCAACCCCAGGUAAUACAGAAAACACCACAAAGAUAUUCCUCAAGAAGAGCAACCCCAAGGCACAAAAUCAUUAGAUUCACCAGGGUUGAAAUGAAGGAGAAAAUACUAAGAGCAGCCAGAGAGAAAGGUCAGGUUACCCACAAAGGCAAGCCUAUCAGACUUACAGCAGAUCUCUCAGCAGAAACUCUACAAGCCAGAAGAGAGUGGGGGCCAAUAUUCAACAUCCUCAAAGAACAGAACCUUCAGCCCAGAAUUUCAUAUCCAGCCAAACUAAACUUCACAACUGAAGGAAAAAUAAAAUAUUUUAUGAACAAGCAAGAACUCAGAGAUUUUAUUACCACCAGGCCUGCUUUACAAGAGCUUCUGAAAGAAGCAUUACACACAGAAAGAAACAACCAGUAUUAGCCUUUCUAAAAAUAUACCAAAAUGUAAAGAGCACCAACAUAAAGAAGAAUUUACACCAACGAAUGGAUAAAACAGCCAGUCAACAUCAAAUGGCAGUAACCCUAAAUUUAAAUUGACUAAAUCCCCCAAUCAAAAGACACAGCCAAAACCCAACGGCAUGUUACAUCCAGACCUGUUUCACAUGCAAGGAUACACAAAGACUCAAAACAAAGGGAUAGAGAAAGAUUUACCAACCAAAUGGAGAGCAAAAAUAAAUAAUAAAUAAAUAAAAAGCAGGAGUUGCAAAUCUCGUAUCGGAUAAAAUAGAUUUUAAAGCAACAAAGAUACAGUGGUAAAAGGAUCAAUGCAACAACAAGAGCUAACGAUCUUAACACCCAGAUACAUAAAGACUUAGACUCAAUGAGACAGAAAAUUAAUAAGGAUAUCAAGGACUCGAACUCAGAUCUGGAACAAGUAAACUUAAUAAAUAUUUAUAGAGCUCUCCACUUCAAAUACACAAAAUAUACAUUCUUGUCAAUACCACAUCACACCUACUCAUAAGUUUAAAUGAAACAUUGAUUGGCCAUUAUUAAUACCCAAUUUUUUUCAGAAUAAAGCAAUAUUUCCAUUUACUCUCCCUCUUUCUCUUCCUCUUUCUUCCUCUCCUUUACUUAUUUUCUUUUUCUUUCCUUCUCUCAAAAAAAGAAAUCAACUUGUAAACCUCUAGAUCCAGGUCGGCAAUGUCUCUCUCAUUGCUUGAUUUCCUUCUUUCCCUUCCCUCCCUCCCUCUCCCCUUCUUCCUUUCCUUCCUUCCUUCAUCCCCACUGUCCUCCUUCCCUCCCUUCCUGCCUUCCUCCCAAAAAAAAAAAAAUUUGUUUAAUUUCUAUGUAGAUUCUGGGUAUUAGCCCUUUGUCAGAUUUGCAAAACUGGCUAGCCAUAUGCAGAAAGCUGAAACUGGAUCCCUUCCUUACAGCUUAUACAAAAAUUAACUUGACAUGGAUUAAAGACUUAAACAUAAGCCCUAAAACCAUAAAAACCCUAGAAGAAAACCGAGGUAAUACCAUUCAGGACAUAGGCAUGGGCAAAGACUUCAUAACUAAAACACUGAAAGCAAUGGCAACAAGCAAAAUAGACAAAUGGGAUCAAAUUAGACUAAAGAGUCUAAUUGCAAAAGAAACUAUCACCAGACUGAACAGGCAGCCUACAGAAUGGGAGAAAAUAUUUGCAACCUCUUCUCUAUAUUCAACAUGGUUAUGGGUGUGAAAAAUUAUGUAAAGCACUUAGCACCAAUUUAUUGAUCACCUACUGUAUAUAUGCCAGAUACUAGCCAACAUCUAAAGCUGGAGCUGGAUAUAAAUUUGAAUAAGUAAAGCAGGAGGCACUGAGAGAGGGAAACUCCAGCUUCCGCCAAAAAAAUGAGACUAGUGGGCUUUACACUCAAACUGUGUUAAAAUGUCUGUCCCUUUAAUAGCUGGGUGAACCUCAGUUUCCUCAUCAAUAACACUGGGAUAAUCAUAUUUCGUAAAGCCUAAGGAAUAAGGAAAUCCCUGUACUGAAGCCCUCAUUACAAAUCCUGACACUCCUGCAUUGUGGAAUGUUCAGACAAAAAAUAAUAAUAAUAAUAAAAAAAACAAA